AUUGAUUUUAGAGAGAGAGAGCGAGGCGAAGCAGAAUUUGAUUCCUCUUCGCAUUUUAUCGUGUUUCUCUGUUGAUGCUGGACCAAGAACCAGCCAUCGAAGGCGGAGCUCGCCAGGAAGCAGAGGAUCGUCGAGGAGGAAGACCUUUGGGGGUUGAAGAACAAGAACACAGAGCAAGAAUGUCCGUUCCCUGCCCCCUCACUAGUCGAUGGAUUCCUCGCUGAUCUAACAACUACAGUAACGGGAGGGGGAGGAGGAGGAAGAGAAGGCGUCGGCCAGCCCAAAGUUCCAAUUAAUAAAUAGGGGGGUUUUCGUCGUCUUCUUUUCCUCUUGAUCUCUGUUGUAUUACUGAUGCGCGUGUUGAUGUUCUUAGGGUUAUCGACUUGCUUAUGUGUAGACGCGAGUUCCGCGAGGCGGGCAGGUGCCAAAAGGUUUCCGACUGCAAGUUCUCGCAUGAUCUCUAUGCCCAGUGGAAGGGAGUGCGGAUCGACCUCUACAGCGACCAACGCGGUCAAGUAAGGGAAACGCAAAAAAGAGGAAGAAAGAGAAGCUGGUUUUGCUGCAAUGAGCGCUGAGCAAGCUAACAAUGAUUGGAUAAGUUGUGGUAAUUCGUUAAUUCCAUCAGAUUCAAGUGACGUUGAGGCACAUGAGAAGUACGCAAGGGAAGAACCAUUUACUGAAGAAGGGUCUCACCGCCCACGCGUUUAAGUGCGGCCCCACUCCAUCCAAACUUCACAUCAUAAGACUGUGUUCUUCCUCACCGACUUGACAAUGGUCUCCCAUUAUUCUCCGUUCUCUAUCCAAGAAUGGAUUUAAUCUUGUGUACACAUG